GCCCGGGUGGUGGAAUUGGUAGACACGCAGGACUUAAAAUCCUGUGGCCAGUGAUGGCUGUGCGGGUUCAAUUCCCGCCCCGGGUA
rnacentral:tRNA from 1 species